UACGUAGGGUGCGAGCGUUGUCCGGAAUUAUUGGGCGUAAAGAGCUCGUAGGCGGUCUGUCGCGUCGAAUGUGAAAACCCGGGGCUCAACUCCGGGCUUGCAUUCGAUACGGGCGGACUGGAGUUCGGCAGGGGAGACUGGAAUUCCUGGUGUAGCGGUGAAAUGCGCAGAUAUCAGGAGGAACACCGGUGGCGAAGGCGGGUCUCUGGGCCGAUACUGACGCUGAGGAGCGAAAGCGUGGGGAGCGAACAGG
rnacentral:rRNA from 1 species